CUACGGGUGGCACCAGUGAGGAAUAUUGCACAAUGGGGGAAACCCUGAUGCAGCAACGCCGCGUGGAGGAUGACGCAUUUCGGUGUGUAAACUCCUUUUAUCAGAGAAGAAAAUGACGGUAUCUGAUGAAUAAGCUCCGGCUGACUCCGUGCCAGCAGCCGCGGUAAUACGGAGGGAGCAAGCGUUAUUCGGAAUCACUGGGCGUAAAGGACGCGUAGGCGGGUUUUUAAGUCAGGUGUGAAAUCCUAUGGCUCAACCAUAGAACUGCACUUGAAACUGGGGACCUAGAGUAUGGAAGGGGCAGGUGGAAUUAGUGGUGUAGGGGUAAAAUCCGUAGAUAUCACUAGGAAUACCGAAAGCGAAGGCGACCUGCUGGGACAUUACUGACGCUGAGGCGUGAAAGCGUGGGGAGCAAACAGGAUUAGAUACCCUUGUAGUC
rnacentral:rRNA from 1 species